rnacentral:rRNA from 1 species
AGUGAACGCCGGCGGCAGGCCUAACACAUGCAAGUCGAACGGCAGCACAGUAAGAGCUUGCUCUUACGGGUGGCGAGUGGCGGACGGGUGAGGAAUACAUCGGAAUCUACUUUUUCGUGGGGGAUAACGUAGGGAAACAUACGCUAAUACCGCAUACGACCUACGGGUGAAAGCAGGGGAUCUUCGGACCUUGCGCGAUUGAAUGAGCCGAUGUCGGAUUAGCUAGUUGGCGGGGUAAAGGCCCACCAAGGCGACGAUCCGUAGCUGGUCUGAGAGGAUGAUCAGCCACACUGGAACUGAGACACGGUCCAGACUCCUACGGGAGGCAGCAGUGGGGAAUAUUGGACAAUGGGCGCAAGCCUGAUCCAGCCAUACCGCGUGGGUGAAGAAGGCCUUCGGGUUGUAAAGCCCUUUUGUUGGGAAAGAAAAGCAGCAGGUUAAUACCCCGCUGUUCUGACGGUACCCAAAGAAUAAGCACCGGCUAACUUCGUG